rnacentral:rRNA from 1 species
UACGUAGGAUGCAAGCGUUGUCCGGAAUUAUUGGGCGUAAAGGGCACGCAGGCGGUGCGGUCAGUCAGUUGUGAAAUCUCCCGGCUCAACUGGGAGGGGUCAAUUGAUACUGCCGUACUUGAGGACAGAAGAGGAAAGUGGAAUUCCCGGUGUAGUGGUGAAAUGCGUAGAUAUCGGGAGGAACACCAAUGGCGGAAGCAGCUUUCUGGUCUGUUUCUGACGCCGAGGUGCGAAGGCUAGGGGAGCAAACAG